rnacentral:rRNA from 1 species
UAAUACUAGGGGGGCAAGCGUUGUCCGGAUUUAUUGGGCGUAAAGAGUUCGUAGGCUGAUUUGUAAGUCGAAAUUGAAAUCCAAUGGCUUAACCAUUGUCAUGGUUUCGAUACUGCAAAUCUUGAAUUAUGCAGAGGUAAGUGGAAUUCCUGGUGUAGCGGUGAAAUGCGUAGAUAUCAGGAGGAACACCAAAGGCGAAGGCAACUUACUGGGCAUCAAUUGACGCUGAGGAACGAAAGCGUGGGUAGCAAACAGGAUUAGAGACCCUGGUAGUCCACGCCGUAAACGAUGAGCACUUGGUGGUGGAAGAUUCGACCCUUUCACUGUCGGAGUUAACGCGUUAAGUGCUCCGCCUGGGGACUACGGCCGCAAGGCUG